rnacentral:rRNA from 1 species
UACUCUAUAGACUAUGGAUGCUGGAAUGCUUUGUAGUCGAAAGGUCCGCCGCCGUAGGAUGGGUCUGCGGCCGAUUAGGUUGUUGUUGGGGUAACGGCCCAACAAGCCUGUAAUCGGUACGGGUUGUGGGAGCAAGAGCCCGGAGAUGGAUUCUGAGACACGAAUCCAGGCCCUACGGGGCGCAGCAGGCGCGAAAACUUUACAAUGCGGGAAACCGUGAUAAGGGAACUCCGAGUGCCCGUUAAAUCGGGCUGUCCAUCUGCUUAAAACACAGGUGAAGAAAGGGCCGGGCAAGACCGGUGCCAGCCGCCGCGGUAAUACCGGCGGCUCGAGUGGUGGCCACUAUUACUGGGCUUAAAGCGUUCGUAGCUGGUUUGUUAAGUCUCUGGGGAAAUCUUCCGGCUUAACCGGAAGGCGUCUCAGGGAUACUGGCAGACUAGGGACCGGGAGAGGUGAGGGGUACUCCAGGGGUAGGAGUGAAAUCCUGUAAUCCUUGGGGGACCACCUGUGGCGAAGGCGCCUCACCAGAACGGCUCCGACAGUGAGGGACGAAAGCUGGGGGAGCAAACCGGAUUAGAUACCCGGGUAGUCCCAGCUGUAAACGAUGCGCGUUAGGUGUAUCAGUGACCACGAGUCACUGAGGUGCCGAAGAGAAAUCGUGAAACGUGCCGCC